rnacentral:rRNA from 1 species
GAUGAACGCUGGCGGCGUGCCUAAUACAUGCAAGUCGAACGAGGUGCUUUUGUAGCAAUACGAAAGUAUCCUAGUGGCGAACGGGUGAGUAACGCGUUGGUGACCUGCCCCAAAGUGUGGGAUAACAGUUCGAAAGGAUUGCUAAUACCGCAUGUGGUCUUCGGUUUUAGAAACCGAUGACUAAAGCAGUAAUGCGCUUUGGGAGGGACCUGCGUCCCAUCAGCUAGUUGGUGAGGUAACGGCUCACCAAGGCUACGACGGGUAGGGGACCUGAGAGGGUGGCCCCCCACAAUGGAACUAGAAACAACGGUCCAUACACCUACGGGAGGCUG